rnacentral:rRNA from 1 species
CCUACGGGUGGCAGCAGUGAGGGAUAUUGGUCAAUGGACGAGAGUCUGAACCAGCCAAGUAGCGUGAAGGAUGACUGCCCUAUGGGUUGUAAACUUCUUUUAUAUGGGAAUAAAACAGGGUAUGCAUACCCUCUUGUAUGUACCAUAUGAAUAAGGAUCGGCUAACUCCGUGCCAGCAGCCGCGGUAAUACGGAGGAUCCGAGCGUUAUACGGAUUUAUUGGGUUUAAAGGGAGCGUAGGUGGAUUGUUAAGUCAGUUGUGAAAGUUUGCGGCUCAACCGUAAAAUUGCAGUUGAAACUGGCAGUCUUGAGUACAGUAGAGGUGGGCGGAAUUCGUGGUGUAGCGGUGAAAUGCUUAGAUAUCACGAAGAACUCCGAUUGCGAAGGCAGCCUUCCGGCGCCCUACUGACGCUGAGGCACGAAAGUGCGGGGAUCGAACAGGAUUAGAUACCCUGGUAGUC